rnacentral:rRNA from 1 species
GAUGAACGCUAGCUACAGGCUUAACACAUGCAAGUCGAGGGGAAACGGCAUUAAGUGCUUGCACUUUUUGGACGUCGACCGGCGCACGGGUGAGUAACGCGUAUCCAACCUUCCCAUGACUAAGGGAUAACCUGCCGAAAGGCAGACUAAUACCUUAUGGUCUUCACUGACGGCAUCAGAUGUGAAGUAAAGAUUUAUCGGUUAUGGAUGGGGAUGCGUCUGAUUAGCUUGUUGGCGGGGUAACGGCCCACCAAGGCAACGAUCAGUAGGGGUUCUGAGAGGAAGGUCCCCCACAUUGGAACUGAGACACGGUCCAAACUCCUACGGGAGGCAGCAGUGAGGAAUAUUGGUCAAUGGGCGAGAGCCUGAACCAGCCAAGUAGCGUGCAGGAUGACGGCCCUAUGGGUUGUAAACUGCUUUUGUAUGGGGAUAAAGUCAAUCACGUGUGAUUGUUUGCAGGUACCAUGCGAAUAAGGACCGGCUAAUUCCGUGCCAGCAGCCGCGGUAAUACGGAAGGUCCGGGCGUUAUCCGGAUUUAUUGGGUUUAAAGGGAGCGUAGGCUGGAGAUUAAGUGUGUUGUGAAAUGUAGACGCUCAACGUCUGACUUGCAGCGCAUACUGGUUUCCUUGAGUACGCACAACGUUGGCGGAAUUCGUCGUGUAGCGGUGAAAUGCUUAGAUAUGACGAAGAACUCCGAUUGCGAAGGCAGCUGACGGGAGCGCAACUGACGCUGAAGCUCGAAGGUGCGGGUAUCGAACAGG